rnacentral:rRNA from 1 species
UACGGGGGGGGCAAGCGUUGUUCGGAAUUACUGGGCGUAAAGGGCUCGUAGGCGGCCAACUAAGUCAGACGUGAAAUCCCUCGGCUUAACCGGGGAACUGCGUCUGAUACUGGAUGGCUUGAGAUUGGGAGAGGGAUGCGGAAUUCCGGGUGUAGUGGUGGAAUGCGUAGAGAUCCGGAGGAACACCAGCGGCGAAGGCGGCAUCCUGGACUGGUCCUGACACUCAUGAGCGAAAGCGUGGGGAGCGAUCCGG